AGGGACAUUAGGACCCAUGUUGACGGGUUCUAUAGGGCCUUAUUCUCCUCCGCUCCUAGGAGCGGACUAUCUCUGGCUCCCGAUUGCUGGACUGGCAUCCAGUUAGUCUCCGCUGCGCAGAACGUGGCCCUCACUGCCCCCUUCUCUGAGGGAAAGGUUUGGGCUGCCAUCAGAGGCAUGAACCCUACCUCGGCUCCUGGCCUGGAUGGCCUGCCGGUAAAAAUUUUCCAGGCCUUCUGGAAUGUGAUUAAGCCUGAGAUCAUGGCCAUCUUCCAUGAGUUCUACGUGGGAUCCAUUGACCUCGGACGCCUCAACUACGGGAUUAUUUCGCUCAUCCCCAAAGUACCUGGGGCGUCCGACAUCCGUCAGUUCCAGCCAAUCACGGUUAUCAAUGUGAUCUUCCGGAUUCUGGCUAAAGGGUACACCAAUAGGGUGACCCUGCUCGCCGACAACAUCACCCACCCCAACCAGACCGCCUUCAUUCAAGGACGGUAUAUUCUGGAUGGGGUGUUAGUCCUCCAUGAGGUCCUCCAUGAGGUCCGGUCCAAACGCCUCAAGGCGGUCUUCCUAAAGAUCGACUUCUGUAAGGCAUACGAUACUGUUAGCUGGCCCUUCCUUCGGGAAGUUCUGCCCUAG
rnacentral:rRNA from 1 species